GACGAACGCUGGCGGCGUGCUUAACACAUGCAAGUCGAACGGACAGGCGCUGAUCUUGCUGGGUGCUCGAGUGCCGAAGGCGGGAGUAACACGCGAGUAAACCGCCCUUGUCUUAGUGAUAACUUCUGGGAACUGCGGCUCAUACCCGAUAGAAGCUCCUGCAGCAUGGGGGGGAUUGGAAAAUUUCGGCUGUUGGAGAUGGUAUCGCGGCUUAUCAGCUACUUGGUGGGGUAGUUGCUUUCCAAGGCUGUGACGGCUAGCCGGCCUGGGAGGGUUGCCGGCCACAUUGCGACUGAGAUACGGACCAGACGCCUACGGGAGGCAGCAGGGGGGAAUAUUGCAGAACGGGGCGAAGCCUGAGGCAGCAACGCCGGGUGCGGAAUGACGGCCUUCGGGUUGUAAACCGCUUUCGCCGGAGACGAAGCCUGAGUGACGGUAAUGGGUAAAGAAGCACCGGCUAACUACGUG
rnacentral:rRNA from 1 species